rnacentral:rRNA from 1 species
AUGAUUGUGAAGGUAAUAGAUGGCAGAUGGGAGGUGAUCUACUUUGUUAGCGAGCACAACCAUCCGUUGAUUGACAAGCCAUGUUUGACUAAGUAUUUGCGAUCACACCAAGGGAUACCGCCAGAAGAAAGGGCCUUCCUUACUCACCUUCAUAACUACAAUUUAACUACAGGUUUUGAACCACACCCACCUCCCCCUAUCUUCUAA